UGGCACUUUAGCUCCAACCCCAACCUCCUGGGAGGGGAGAAGAGCUGGAGUUGAAUUAAUCAGGAACAGCCAGUGAUGUAAUCAAUUAAAAUCGCUCAGUCAUGUUCAACUCUUUGUGACCUCAUGGACUGUAGCUCAACAGGCUCCUCUGUCCAUGGAAUUCUCCAGGCAAGAAUACUGGAGUGGGUUGCCAUGCCCUCCUUCAGAGGAUCUUCCCAAUGCAUUGACUGAACCUGGCUCUCUUGCAUUGGAGGCAGAUUCUUUACCAUCCGAGCCACCAGGGAAGCCCAGUAUAAUGAAGCCUCGUCCAAAUCUAAAGAAGGGGAUUUGGCAAGCUUUCAGGAAGAAGGUCACCAGUCGAUAACUUUGGAAGAGAACAGACCCAGUUACUGAGCUUCCUGAUGCCAGCUGUGGCCCUUUUGAAAUUUUUGCAGAAGAAAGAAAAAUACAAGACCUUCACUGUUUUCAUCCUUAUCAUCUACCCUGGCUACAAAUCCUGAUUCUAAGACCUCUCCCUAUUCCCCAGGAAGGAGGGCACAGUUUCUGAGGCACUUGCCUCCCAUGUUCCCUCUUUGCUUGGAAAAGAAAUAAAGCUAUUCUCUUUCCUCCAAAA